rnacentral:rRNA from 1 species
AUGAUGGAGCAGGUGAAGGCGAUCCGAACCACCAGCCAAGCAACUUAUGACGCGAGCUCAGCUCUCCAAAGCAAUGUCCAUAAAUCUUGUGACCUUGUUUCUCGUUAUACCGAAUUGGAGAACAAGCAUAUCCAGCUUGAACUUGACCAGAAGCUUGUCCAAGAGAACUUUACGAAGUCGAAGGAGGAGGUAAAAGAGAAACUGAAGGAUGCCCUGAAGAAGAAGGACCUUGACCUCGUCGAGGCGCAGAAAGCGGCUUCGGACAAGACAAAACAUGCAGAAGAGAAGUUGGCUUCUGUCAACAAACUUGAAGAGGAAAACACUAAUCUGAAAGCUGCUCUUGGCGUGGCCAACCAAGAAGUCACUCGACUGAAGAAUGCCAAUAUGGUCCUGAGUGACAAAGCUGGCGAACUGGCAGGAAAGAAGAAUGACUUGGAGGUUUAUCUGGGAGGACUCGCCAAGUAG